UACAGAGGGUGCGAGCGUUAAUCGGAAUUACUGGGCGUAAAGCGUGCGUAGACGGUCAAGUAAGUCGGGUGUGAAAGCCCCGGGCUCAACCUGGGAAUUGCAUUCGAGACUGCGUGGCUAGGGUGCGGAAGAGGGAAGCGGAAUUUCCGGUGUAGCGGUGGAAUGCGUAGAGAUCCGGAGGAACACCAAAGGCGAAGGCAGUGUCCUGGGGAGACCUGACGCUCAGGUGCGAAAGCCAGGGGAGCGAACGGG
rnacentral:rRNA from 1 species